CAUUUAGAUUGAUCAAAUAAUAGUGAAUAUAAUGCGAUACAAAUAGCAAUAUAUACUUUAUCAGUUUUUAUUACACGACAGUGGAUGUUGAAAUUAUGAUUUCGUGGAUUUUGUUGUUGUUGAAACUGUGACUUAGUUGAGUAAUGUCCUCAGAGAAGCUAACCCCGCCGAGAGAACCGCCCUCGACCUCCGGCACACCAAACUGGGUGCCGAUUGUCGCUGGGGUGCUCAUCGGCCUCGGCGUCCUAGCCAUCGCCUACAAACUAUUCUCGAAAUCCAAACCUUCCGGCGUCAGCUUCGUUUGCUAUAAGAAGCCACCACCGCCAACUGGUUGUUUACAACCUCAAAAAUCACCGCGCUGUAUAUGUUGACAUCGGCCUAUCUUCAUGGAAUGAAGAUGGAAAUUAUAGAAGAUCUAUGUCCGUAGUUUAUUUCCAGUUGAAAUAAUACAGAAAUGUGUUAAGUAAUUACGUUACAAUUGUGAUAUUUUUAUUAGUAAUGACGUUCAAGUAAAC